rnacentral:rRNA from 1 species
GCCUACGGGGCGCAGCAGUGGGGAAUAUUGCACAAUGGAGGGAACUCUGAUGCAGCGACGCCGCGUGAGUGAAGAAGUAAUUCGUUAUGUAAACCUCUUUUGUCAGGGAGCAAAGGGCGCCACGUGUGGCGUUUUGCGAGUACCUGAAGAAAAAGCAUCGGCUAACUCCGUGCCAGCAGCCGCGGUAAUACGGAGGAUGCGAGCGUUAUCCGGAUUUAUUGGGUUUAAAGGGUGCGCAGGCGGAAUGUCAAGUCAGCGGUAAAAUUUCGGGGCUCAACCCCGUCGUGCCGUUGAAACUGGCGUUU